rnacentral:rRNA from 1 species
UGGGGAAUAUUGGACAAUGGGCGCAAGCCUGAUCCAGCCAUGCCGCGUGAGUGAUGAAGGCCCUAGGGUUGUAAAGCUCUUUUACCCGCGAAGAUAAUGACGGUAGCGGGAGAAUAAGCUCCGGCUAACUCCGUGCCAGCAGCCGCGGUAAUACGGAGGGAGCUAGCGUUGUUCGGAAUUACUGGGCGUAAAGCGCGCGUAGGCGGCCAUUCAAGUCAGAGGUGAAAGCCCGGGGCUCAACUCCGGAACUGCCUUUGAAACUAGAUGGCUAGAAUGCAGGAGAGGUGAGUGGAAUUCCGAGUGUAGAGGUGAAAUUCGUAGAUAUUGGGUAGAACACCAGUGGCGAAAGCGGCUCUCUGGUCCGGUUCUGACGCUGAGGCGCGAAAGCGUGGGGAGCAAACAGGAUUAGAUACCCCGGUAGUCC